rnacentral:rRNA from 1 species
GCCUAACACAUGCAAGUCGAGCGGAUGAAGGGAGCUUGCUCCUGGAUUCAGCGGCGGACGGGUGAGUAAUGCCUAGGAAUCUGCCUGGUAGUGGGGGAUAACGUCCGGAAACGGGCGCUAAUACCGCAUACGUCCUGAGGGAGAAAGUGGGGGAUCUUCGGACCUCACGCUAUCAGAUGAGCCUAGGUCGGAUUAGCUAGUUGGUGGGGUAAAGGCCUACCAAGGCGACGAUCCGUAACUGGUCUGAGAGGAUGAUCAGUCACACUGGAACUGAGACACGGUCCAGACUCCUACGGGAGGCAGCAGUGGGGAAUAUUGGACAAUGGGCGAAAGCCUGAUCCAGCCAUGCCGCGUGUGUGAAGAAGGUCUUCGGAUUGUAAAGCACUUUAAGUUGGGAGGAAGGGCAGUAAGUUAAUACCUUGCUGCUUUGGCGUUACCAACAGAAUAAGCACCGGCUAACUUCGUGCCAGCAGCCGCGGUAAUACGAAGGGUGCAAGCGUUAAUCGGA